rnacentral:rRNA from 1 species
CGGGGGGAGCAAGCGUUGUUCGGAUUUACUGGGCGUAAAGGGCGCGUAGGCGGUCAGCACAAGUCAGUUGUGAAAUCUCCGAGCUUAACUCGGAAAGGUCAACUGAUACUGUGCGACUAGAGUGCAGAAGGGGCAACUGGAAUUCUCGGUGUAGCGGUGAAAUGCGUAGAUAUCGAGAGGAACACCUGCGGCGAAGGCGGGUUGCUGGGCUGACACUGACGCUGAGGCGCGAAAGCUAGGGGAGCGAACGGGAUUAGAUACCCCGGUAGUCCUAGCCUUAAACGAUGAAUGCUUGGUGUCUGGGGUUAUAUAGUCCCCCGGGUGCCGUCGCUAACGCUUUAAGCAUUCCGCCUGGGGAGUACGGUCGGCAAGACUG